rnacentral:rRNA from 1 species
UACGUAGGGGGCUAGCGUUGUCCGGAUUUAUUGGGCGUAAAGAGCGUGUAGGCGGCCAGGUAGGUCUGCUGUGAAAACUCGAGGCUCAACCUCGAGACGUCGGCGGAAACCAUCUGGCUAGAGUCCGGAAGAGGAGAGUGGAAUUCCUGGUGUAGCGGUGAAAUGCGCAGAUAUCAGGAAGAACACCCGUGGCGAAGGCGGCUCGCUGGGACGUUACUGACGCUGAGACGCGAAAGCGUGGGGAGCAAACAGG